UGCACGCGGUAGGUGAGGCCCGAGCAAAGAAAAGUGGAAAAGAGUGUUAUUCGUCAAAAAAACCACACAACGACGGUCAUUUUUUCGCCGUGCUAUUGUAAAAUUGUCUUUUAUCUGUGUUUUGUGUUCCGGGGGACCCCGACUCCAGAAUGUGAAAGUUUCCCGCGUGAAGCCGCUCCACCGUCUCGCCGAGUGCCAGCAAGAGUCAUGAGUACUUGUCAACUCGACUCCUCAACUGGAGAUAACUUUCUAGCACCUCACCAUGGGGAAGGAUGUAUUCAUAUGCCUUCACCAGCACAUGCAUUAAACAUGCAGAGAGUUACACAAGUUCUUACCACCUUGGGGCACCAUUCAGGGUGCCUUUUCAUCUGAUUAAAUUUAUAAUGAACAGGGACAUUGCGGUUGUCCCAAGUGGAUGGUAUGAUGAUAGG